rnacentral:lncRNA from 1 species
AUGGGCAGGGAGGCUGGGGGUCCACCUGGCCAGGGGGCUGUCUCGCAGCGAGGCCACACCACCCUCUGGCCAAGGCCCUGCCAGAGCUUCGGGGCUGCCCCGGGGGGUGCUGGGGCUAUCCCAGGCUUGGUGGGCGGUGGGGGGCCAAGACCAUCACCAGACGCAAAUCUAAGACCCCGCAUCCUGGCCAGUUUGGAAAGAGCUGAGUCGGGGGGUGUGGGGGGCAGGGGCUGUGACUCUGAGCUUGAAAGCAGAGAGAAAAGGCCACUGGGUGAGAGGCCACAGCCAGCCCUGAUCCUGGGGCCUGGCCCCUCUCUCCUGGGCGAAGCAGCAUCCAUCGGGCUCUCCCCACAGCUGCUCCCUUGUGUGCGGGCUCCAGGCCUCUGGAACCCAGAAGAACGGGGCGCAGAGACGACCAGGCUGAUGGCGCCAGGUCCUCGUCCGGCCUUGGCCACACUGGUUCCCACCUGCGUUAGAGGGUCCCGUCUGGCAUCCUUGGCCAUUGGUUACUUGUGGAGACUAUUUCAAUUAGCUCGUUUGUGUCUCCCAGUUAAUAACGGAGAACGGCAAUGGAGCAGAGGAAAUGAGAGAUGGCAGUCACUGCUCAGCAGUGACCCGCAGGGCGUGGACGAAGGAGGAAGGCACCGGAUAUUGUCACAGAGCCUCAUGUCUCUGAUGACUUCUGGACCACUCGGGGGCAUGUGGUUUCUCAGUGGCAGGUGGGACCAUCCCAUCUGUCCUGCCACCCUCGCCUGGCUGACCACAGCCUCCUGUGUCCCCUUCGUUUUGACCUCACGCGGUCCCCACCAGGAGGGCACUGCCUCCUCUGGUACAGUGGAGGAGACUGAGGCUCCAAGGACAGUCCCACCCAGGGUCGCAUGGCGCUGUGCGGUCCAGCGGGUCUCUCAUUGGCCUCCUGACCCUCCAGGCCUGGCUGCCGUGGGCCCUAAAUUCAAUCACAGGAACGAAGCACUUCGAAAUGCACAAGCUGUAAGGUAUUAUGAUGAUGAUAAAAACACAGCCAAUUAUGGUUUUAUGAGGCUGAGCUGCCCUUCUGGAAUUCUCUCUCAUCCAGUGAUCUCAAAGCGCUGGGCUGGUCCAGAAUUAAUUAGGCCCUGCAGCCAAGGACCACAGACGGCACCUAGGAGCACCGAGGGGGCAGGCUGGGGCCAGACAGGAAGCAACGAGCAUUGCUCAUGCCCCUGUGGCUUCAGGCCGGCUCUCCCUGAGCCAGCUGGAGGGAUGGUGGGAAGCUUUGGGGCCUCUCCCUUCCCAACCAGAUCAGGGAUGAAGACCGUCGGCAGGAGGAACAAAGCCAAGGGCUCCACGGUCGACAAGGAGGGAGGGAGGGGCAGUUCCGUCUGGUUUAGGGUUUUCCUGGUCCAGAUCCUGCCCGUCCCUUGUGACUGUGAGCUCCUGCAGGUCAUGGGCCAUGAUCUGAGUCAUGGGGGCUACUGGAAUGGACAAGUUUUGAUGGCUGGAGAAGAGGGAGGGGACAUGGAAGACUGGGGCAUAAGAGGAAAGCCACAGGACCUGCCGCCUUGUCAGGGCUUACUGAGCAAGGUCAAUGAAUAA